GACAGAGGGUGCAAACGUUGCUCGGAAUCACUGGGCGUAAAGGGCGUGUAGGCGGGAAGGAAAGUCAGAUGUGAAAUCCCCAGGCUCAACCUGGGAACUGCAUUUGAAACUCCCUUUCUUGAGUACCGGAGAGGAAAGUGGAAUUCCUGGUGUAGAGGUGAAAUUCGUAGAUAUCAGGAGGAACACCAGUGGCGAAGGCGCUUUCUGGACCAUGACUGACGCUGAGGCACGAAAGCGUGGGGAGCAAACGGG
rnacentral:rRNA from 1 species